rnacentral:rRNA from 1 species
AGUGAACGCUGGCGGUAGGCCUAACACAUGCAAGUCGAACGGCAGCACAGGAGAGCUUGCUCUCUGGGUGGCGAGUGGCGGGCGGGUGAGGAAUACAUCGGAAUCUACUUUUUCGUGGGGGAUAACGUAGGGAAACUUACGCUAAUACCGCAUACGACCUACGGGUGAAAGCAGGGGACCUUCGGGCCUUGCGCGAUUGAAUGAGCCGAUGUCGGAUUAGUUAGUUGGCGGGGUAAAGGCCCACCAAGGCGACGAUCCGUAGCUGGUCUGAGAGGAUGAUCAGCCACACUGGAACUGGGACACGGUCCAGACUCCUACGGGAGGCAGCAGUGGGGAAUAUUGGACAAUGGGCGCAAGCCUGAUCCAGCCAUACCGCGUGGAUGAAGAAGGCCUUCGGGUUGUAAAGCCCUUUUGUUGGGAAAGAAAUCCAGCCGGCUAAUACCCGGUUGGGAUGACGGUACCCAAAGAAUAAGCACCGGCUAACUUCGUGCCAGCCGCCGCGGUAA